rnacentral:rRNA from 1 species
UACGUAGGGGGCAAGCGUUAUCCGGAAUUACUGGGUGUAAAGGGAGCGUAGACGGUAAUGUAAGUCUGGAGUGAAAGGCGGGGGCCCAACCCCCGGACUGCUCUGGAAACUAUGUUACUAGAGUGCAGGAGAGGUAAGCGGAAUUCCUAGUGUAGCGGUGAAAUGCGUAGAUAUUAGGAGGAACACCAGUGGCGAAGGCGGCUUACUGGACGGUAACUGACGUUGAGGCUCGAAAGCGUGGGGAGCAAACAGG